rnacentral:rRNA from 1 species
CCUACGGGAGGCAGCAGUGAGGAAUAUUGGUCAAUGGGCGCGAGCCUGAACCAGCCAAGUAGCGUGAAGGAUGACUGCCCUAUGGGUUGUAAACUUCUUUUAUAAAGGAAUAAAGUUAGGCACGUGUGCCUUUUUGCAUGUACUUUAUGAAUAAGGAUCGGCUAACUCCGUGCCAGCAGCCGCGGUAAUACGGAGGAUCCGAGCGUUAUCCGGAUUUAUUGGGUUUAAAGGGUGCGUAGAUGGGUUGUUAAGUCAGUUGUGAAAGUUUGCGGCUCAACCGUAAAAUUGCAGUUGAUACUGGCAGCCUUGAGUACGGUUGAGGUAGGCGGAAUUCGUGGUGUAGCGGUGAAAUGCUUAGAUAUCACGAAGAACUCCGAUUGCGAAGGCAGCUUACUAAGCUGCCACUGACAUUGAUGCUCGAAAGUGUGGGUAUCAAACAGGAUUAGAUACCCUGGUAGUC